GGACUCCUGGUGUAGUGGUUAUCACAUCUGCUUUACAGUUUCGAAAGAAAUGAAUAGCGCAGUAGGUCGCAAGUUCGAUCCUUGCGGAGUUCA